rnacentral:lncRNA from 1 species
GGUAGUUGCCAUGACCCUCGAUUCAAAUCUCGGGUCGGAGGCGUGACAAUCACCCUUUUAAAAAUAUAGAUAUCCUUUAAGAUGUUGAAAAGCAGCGAGGUAAUCACAAACAUCAUCAACAACGCAGUAAGGCAAUGAGGCAAACUAAUAGCGGAAGAGCUUCAGAACUAACGGCAGAUGCAGUCAUUAAAUAGUGAAGAAUUCACAGAAAAACUUUAGAAUUAACAGAAGAGCUUCAACGAAACAUCAGUGAUAAGUAGAAAGAAGGGAGA